ACUUCAUCAGAGAACUUUACUUGGGAAGACACAUAACGUUGGAGAAAAUAAAAACGCAUUUCAGCAGGUAGUUGUCCUCUAGACAGCUCGCCCCCCUUCCAGGAAAAAAAAAAAAAAAAUCAUAAAGCAGCUUAAUUAAUCUUAGCUCUCUAGAGCAAUGGUGCUUGAUAUUUGCAGUUUCUCAUAGUACAAAGUUUACUUUUGCUCUUUUUCAUUAAACCUUACACAAACACAGUAAAAAAAAAAUACCUCUGAUCACUGAUUACUGUGCAGCUUCCACUAAGAAUUUUAGGUAGAAAAUCCUACUUGUUUUGUUGUUCUUGUGUUGUGCUUUGGGUUUUGUUUGUUCAAGCAGUAGUGAUUCAAACCCGGCCAGUGGGUGCACGUUGUGAUGAAGUCCAAACUCUGCAACACUUCGUACCCAUCGGUCUGGAUUCUGCAAAACUCCUCUGGGAAGCUGUGAAGAGAAAUGCAAGUGGGAGAGGACUACAGCUCCCGGGAGUGCUGUGAUCUCCUGUCUGCAAGACCUUUUUCAUCCGAUGAAACAAAGCAUGCUGAAUUUGUCCUGCAGCUGUCACGUCAGGUGGAGUCAAGUCUCCUAACCUGGAGGGGGACUGGCAAAGUGGCUGGAGAAAUAAACCUGGAAAUGUUCUAACACCAGAAAUAAACCUGGAUGGUUCUAAAUUCAAGGUUAUCUCCAUUAGUACAGAAGAAGCUGUCAUGCAUAACUGGAGAAAUCCUUUGAAUUGUAACCUCUCAGGUAAGCCUUGA